rnacentral:rRNA from 1 species
GGGAUUGCCUCAGUAACGGCGAGUGAAGCGGCAACAGCUCAAAUUUGAAAUCUGGCCCCUUCGGGGUCCGAGUUGUAAUUUGUAGAGAGUGUUUCGGGUGAGACCACGGUCUAAGUCUAUUGGAACAUUACGUCAUAGAGGGUGAGAACCCCGUAUGUGACCGUGGCUCGAGCCCAUGUGAAGCCUCUUCGACGAGUCGAGUUGUUUGGGAAUGCAGCUCAUAAUGGGUGGUAAAUUUCAUCUAAAGCUAAAUACUGGCUGGAGACCGAUAGCGCACAAGUAGAGUGAUCGAAAGAUGAAAAGCACUUUGGAAAGAGAGUCAAACAGUACGUGAAAUUGUUGAAAGGGAAGCGCUGGCAACCAGACCUGUCCGUAGGCGAUCAGCCGCUGUUCUCAGCGGUGCACUCGUUCUGCGAUCAGGCCAGCAUCGGUUUCGGCGGUCGGAUAAAGGCCCGGGGAACGUAGCUCCCUCCCGGGGGAGUGUUAUAGCCUCGGGCGCAAUGCGGCCAGCCGGGACCGAGGACCGCGCUUUUUGCUAGGAUGCUGGCGUAAUGGUUGUCAGCGACCCGUCUUGAAACACGGACCAAGGAGUCUAACAUCUAUGCGAGUGUUUGGGUGUCAAACCCAUGCGCGGAAUGAAAGUGAACGGAGGUGAGAACCCUUUAGGGCGCAUCAUCGACCGAUCCAGAUGUUUUCGGAUGGAUUUGAGUAUGAGCAUAGCUCUUGGGACCCGAAAGAUGGUGAACUAUGCCUGAAUAGGGUGAAGCCAGAGGAAACUCUGGUGGAGGCUCGCAGCGGUUCUGACGUGCAAAUCGAUCGUCAAAUUUGGGUAUAGGGGCGAAAGACUAAUCGAACCAUCUAGUAGCUGGUUCCUGCCGAAGU